rnacentral:rRNA from 1 species
AGUUCGAUCAUGGCUCAGGAUGAACGCUGGCGGCAUGCCUAAUACAUGCAAGUCGAACGGAGUGAAGCCUUCGGGUUUCAUUCAGUGGCGAACGGGUGAGUAAUACGCAGGGAACCUGGCCAUGGCAGGGGGAUACACUCUGGAAACGGAGCAUAAGACCCCAUAGGCAGUAAGGCGGCAUCGCCUUACUGUUAAAGAAAGCUGAAAGGCUUUGGCGAUGGAUGGACCUGCGGUGCAUUAGCUUGUUGGUGAGGCAACGGCUUACCAAGGCGAUGAUGCAUAGCCGGCCUGAGAGGGCGGACGGCCACACUGGGACUGAGACACGGCCCAGACUCCUGCGGGAGGCAGCAGUAGGGAAUUUUCGUCGAUGGGCGCAAGCCUGAACGAGCAAUGCCGCGUGAGUGAGGAAGGUCUUCGGACUGUAAAGCUCUGUUGCCGGGGAAAAAGGGGAAAUGCAGGAAAUGGCAUUUCAUGGAUGGUACCCGGCCAGAAAGCCACGGCUAACUACGUGCCAGCAGCCGCGGUAAUACGUAGGUGGCGAGCGUUAUCCGGAAUGAUUGGGCGUAAAGGGUGCGCAGGCGGUCUGUUAAGUCUGAAGGCAAAGGGAUGAGCUCAACUCAUUUAUGAUUCAGAAACUGGCAGACUUGAGGACAGGAGAGGGCGGUGGAACUCCAUGUGUAGCGGUAAAAUGCGCAGAGAUAUGGAAGAACACCAGUGGCGAAGGCGGCCGCCUGGCCUGUGACUGACGCUGAGGCACGAAAGCGUGGGGAGCAAAUAGGAUUAGAUACCCUAGUAGUCCACGCCGUAAACGAUGAGGAGCAGGUGUUGGGAGUGAAAUCUCAGUGCCGAAGCCAACGCAGUGACUCCUCCGCCUGGGGAGUAUGCACGCAAGUGUGAAACUCAAAGGAAUUGACGGGGGCCCGCACAAGCGGUGGAGUAUGUGGUUUAAUUCGAAGCAACGCGAAGAACCUUACCAGGUUUUGACAUCGGAUGCGAAGGCGCAGAGAUGCGCUGGAGGCUAUCAUCCAGACAGGUGGUGCAUGGUUGUCGUCAGCUCGUGUCGUGAGAUGUUCAGUUAAGUCUGGCAACGAGCGCAACCCCCGUGGUAUGUUACUAACGCAUUUGGGCGAGGACUCAUAUCAGACUGCCGGUGACAAACCGGAGGAAGGCGGGGAUGACGUCAAAUCAUCAUGCCCCUUAUGACCUGGGCUACACACGUACUACAAUGGCGUCUACAGAGGGAAGCGACCCUGAGAAGGGAAGCGAAACCGGAAAAGGGCGUCCCAGUUCGGAUUGAAGUCUGCAACCCGACUUCAUGAAGAUGGAAUCGCUAGUAAUCGCGGAUCAGCAUGCCGCGGUGAAUACGUUCCCGGGCCUUGUACACACCGCCCGUCAAACCAUGGAAGCCGGCAACGCCCGAAGCCGGUGGCAUAACCUUUUAGGAGUGAGCCGUCGAAGGCGGGGCCGAUGACUGGGGUUAAGUCGUAACAAGGUAGCC